GUAACACAAAACACAAUUAUAAGAAGCGUACAACAGCAUGAACCUACGUGCAGAGCAGUAUAUGAGCAGCAUAUGUAGCACUAUAUCAGCCGUAUAAAAGUCUAUAAGUGUCUUGUAAGCGCAAUUUGGGCCCCAAAUAAUACGGCUUUGAGCAUUAUUAAAUAUUAUUAGUGCUGCUAACCAGCGCUUAUAAUGUUAUUGAAGACAGACAUUAGUAAAGUUGUUAGACAGCAUAUUCUAAUGUAAAAAGCAUUUUAUUAGAUGUUAGUACAGCUUUGAAACAGCUUUCAGAAUUACAAUGCCAAAGUUACGUUUUAUUCUAAGGCUGAACGUUUUAUUUUGUUUGUUUGAAAGUAUUCGAAAAAACUUAUCGCAUUUUAUUGUCCGAUUUGAUUAUUUUUCGUUUAGAGUAUUGCAGUGCAAUGGUGUUGUGAGGAGAAGUUUUAAUGUCUUUAUUUAAAAUAAUUUAUCAUAAGGUAAGUAUCUUUUUUUUUGUUUCAAGAAUGAAAAUGAGCUGGGAGUAUUAGUCUUAUGUGAAAAUAUAUAUAUGUUUGUGGUUUAUAAUUCACGCGCCCUCACAGAAAUCCUUUUUUUAAUAAAAUAGGGACAAAUUUAGAAUCGACAUAUGACACUUUUUGUGAUUUUUUUAACGAUUUGAUUAAUUUUAACUUAUAAAAUUGCUUCUAUCGAUACUCCGCUUGUAAGAAAAGGAUAAUAAGUAGUAUUUCAUGCAUAUGUGUAUUAUAAUUUUAUUUUCUAUGUUAGAGAAAACAGAAAGCAAAUGGCGUCAGAUAAUAUUAAUGUUUUAAACUUUCAACUAGUGUCUUUUAAUGUUGUCAGUCUUAUUAUAGUAAAAAGAAAAUGGUUAAGUCAUUCAACCUACAUAUAAAAUAUCUAAGUGAUAUCUUUAGCAUUACUGUAACACUUUUUAGGUAUGUUAUAAUGUUCAUUAGGUUUAAACGUCAUAAAAAUGGAUUACUAUAGUGUUAAUCAGGGUACCGAAACAAUAAUUUAGAAUCCUUUAAUCACGUCAUGAUCCCCUACUCCACGUCUUUCAAUUUUAUCUGUCUCCAAUUAGGUAGGUACCUAGUUUGACAAGUGUUAAGUAUAAAAUCAUUAUCACUACAAAUGUAAUUUGUAAUGAAACACGAUAUAGCUACCUAUCUUAUUUUUCGCUCAUUGUAAUAGUAAUAAUUUAAAGGAACUUUUUGUAACUAGUAAGUAGUGUUGCUGUAGUCGUUUUUUUAAGGGUAUGCGUUAUACGGAUGCCUUUUAAAAUAGUGCAAACGACCGAAAGGGAUGAAGGAAUGUUCUACGGAACUUCUUGACUCACACAACAACCGAUUGUACUGUAUUUUGUGUAUGAGGUGUAUCAUUUUUUGGAACACGUUUUGCAUUUCUUAAACCAAAUAUAAAGUUUGAAUAUUC